rnacentral:rRNA from 1 species
GCGGCCUAUCAGCUUGUUGGUGAGGUAAUGGCUCACCAAGGCAACGACGGGUAGCCGGCCUGAGAGGGCGACCGGCCACACUGGGACUGAGACACGGCCCAGACUCCUACGGGAGGCAGCAGUGGGGAAUAUUGGGCAAUGGAGGAAACUCUGACCCAGCGACGCCGCGUGCGGGAUGAAGGCCUUCGGGUUGUAAACCGCUUUCAGUAGGGAAGAAGCGAAAGUGACGAUACCUACAAAAGAAGCACCGGCUAACUAUGUGCCAGCAGCCGCGGUAAUACAUAGGGUGCAAGCGUUGUCCGGAAUUAUUGGGCGUAAAGAGCUCGUAGGUCGUUUGUUACGUCGGAUGUGAAAACCUGAGGCUCAACCUCUGGCCUGCAUUCGAUACGGGCAAACUAGAGUUUGGUAGGGGAGACUGGAAUUCCU